rnacentral:rRNA from 1 species
GACGAACGCUGGCGGCGUGCCUAACACAUGCAAGUCGAACGAAGUGGCGAACGGGUGAGUAACGCGUAAGCAACCUGCCGUUCAGAGGGGGACAACAGUUGGAAACGACUGCUAAACCCGCAUAGUGAAGGAGGGGUUUGUGGCGGAUGAGCUAGUUGGGGGGGUAAUGGCCAGCCAAGGCGAUGAUCAGUAGCCGGUCUGAGAGGAGUGACGGCCACAUUGGGACUGAGACAAGGCCCAGACUCCUACCGGAGGCAACAGUGGGGAAUCUUCCGCAAUGGACGGAAGUCUGACGGAGCAACGCCGCGUGAGUGAUGACGGGCUUCGGGUUGUAAAUCUCUGUUAAUCGGGACGCGGUACCGGAAUAGAAAGCCACGGCUAACUACGUGCCAGCAGCCGCGGUAAUAC